AUGAACCAAUCAGUAGGAUGCGGCUGUAUCAGGGUUCUGGAAUGCAGAUGCUCACUAUACUUCUUGAUAUAUUCAUGGGAAAAGCUAACUUCCUGUCAUUUCUAUGUUCUAGAUGAUGAAACAUGCGUGGGACAGCUACAGGCAAUACGGCUGGGGCCACAACGAGCUCAAACCCAUCGCCAAGAAAGGACAUUCCACCAAUAUCUUCGAUGUGCAUGAUAUGUCAAACUACUGUAUAUUGAUAUAAACUGUAUUGCCUUAUCCUAUAUAAUGUAUAAAAAUAAACUGAUAUAUUGUACAAAUUCGAUGCAUCACCCUGUUCUAAUAUGAAGCUGAUUUACAGUACAAUUAAAAAGUUUGGAGUUGGUGAGAAGAAAGUCUCUCACACUCAAAAAAAUAAAUUGUUGAAUGAACAUGAUUUAUUCGUAUUACCCAUUAUGCAUCUAAUCAAAUCAAGUAAACUUGCACUGCUUCAAAUAAUAAUUUAGUUACAAAUAACAAGAAUGAAUCAUUUAACAUAAGUAAACGUGUUAUAUUCUUAUUAAUCAGACAUAUUUGUAUUUUGCAAAUCAAACAAGUGGCUAGUUGACUUUUUUGAGUGCAUAUACUCACCAAGGCUGCAUUUAUUUGAUCAAAAAUGCAGUAAAAACCGUAAUAUUGUGAAAUAUUUAAAUAUAAUUAAAUAUAAGUUUCUAUUUAAAUAUAAUUUAAAAUGUAAUUUAAUCAUACGAUGACAAAGCUGAAUUUUUAACAUCAUUACUCCAGUCUUCAGUGUCACAUGAUCCUUCAGAAAUCAUUCUAAUAACAUUUGUGCUGUUUUGUGGAAAUCAAAUGCAGUUUUCUCAAGAUUCUUUGAACAAAAUUCAAAAGAACAUGAUUAAUUUGAAAUCGAAAUCUUUUGUAACAUUGUAACUGUAUUGACUGUCACCUUUAAUCAAUUUUAUGCACCCUUGCUGAAUUUAAAUAUUAAUUCAAUUUCUUUCAAAAAAUAAACACUUACUGAAGCCAACCUUUUGAACGGCAGUGUACAUGGGGACGGAUGAUCUAUUGUCAGAAGUGUGGCAGUGGGCCAUAACUGUAGUCAUUAAGAUUACACCAUUAAAAGGUUUUUACCAGACAACAAAGAGAUGCAGAGUUUUAUUUUCCUAAGCUGUGAGGCUUUGUGUUUUCAUUUCUUUCCACCACAUCAUUGCUGAAUGAACUGAUUGAGCUUAAUCUCAGUAUGAACUCUUCGCACAUUGAGGAAGUUGUUCUAUCCUGUGCUGAUGUGUGAAGAGAGAGAGCGAGAAGGCUGCUCUAGACUGUUUUAGCCUGGGAACAGCCCUCCAGACCCGCAGCUGGAGACGGGCCAUUGUGUUCUCCGUCAUCCCGACGUCCAGUGUAGUUGCCAUAGCAACGGCAGGGCUAGCUGAGGUCAAAAUACGUAUGCUGGCUGAUAAGAGGCAGAGCAUCCAGACUACGGAGUCUUUAAUCAGCUCUCUGGUUAAUCAAUACCCACCAGCCUGCACCUAAUCAGCUGAGGACGCUCUGCAUGAGUCUGAUGCUCAGACCAUUGUCCAUAACUGGGUCAUUUUUGUUCCUCAUAUCUGUUCCCAGGAAUAAAAGGGCACAAUGCAUGAUAAGCAAUUCUAUAAAAAUGAGAGCUUAGUGGUUCUCCCUGACUGGUUUAAAGGGACGGUGCUUAAAGGCCCAUUCACACAAAGAACGAUAACUAUAAUGAUAACUAUAUUGGCAUCCACACCAGUCUGUUUAAUCUAAGCACAAGUGCAUCUGCCGCUUUAAACUCUCGAGCUCAUCACAGCAGGAUUGAUUCUGAUUGGCUGUCAGUGUUUCGUUCAUCGUUCAUCAGCUGGAGAAAAAAAAUCAUUCUGAAAGUGAUUCCAACUAUAUAAUUUCUCUGUGCCUUUAUCAUUAUAGCUGUGGUGUGAGCUCUGCUAUUCUUUAAUAUUGAGACCGAUUUUUAGAGCUAUAUCUUUGUCGUUAUCUUUAGGCCUUAAGCCUUGUUCACACUUUUUUAUUUUGGGUUGCUAACAGGUGGCCCUGCCAGUAAAUGCCCUAAUGAUAAUAUUUGUAAAUAAUGUACCAUGUACCAUUUUGGGGGGUGAAGCAUUUGCCAUUCCUUCCAGGAUUCCGCUGAUUUUUUUUUUCUGAUUCUUGUAGCACAAAAAGACUGCGAUUGAGAUGAUGUUCUCAAGAAGUAAAUAUUGCAAAAGAAAUGUUAUUAUUUUUAGAAUUGAGCAUAACUUACAGUGUGUGUUCACUAUAGCAAUAAUACAGUCCAGAAAACCACAAAUUUAGUACUAAGUGAUAUUUCCAGGAUUUGAAUGACAUUCUGAACUUUGAACCUGGUCUUAUAUGCAUGCAUAAGGUAAAAAAAUAUUUAAAAAAUAAUAGAUCUCCACUUAAAGGGAAAAUCCACCCAAAAUUUUAAAUUACCCCAUGAUUUACUCACCCUCGAGCCAUCCUAUAGGUGUUAAUAACGUUCUUCUUUCAGACACAAUCAGAGUUAUAUUAAAAAAGUCCUGGCUCUUCCAAGCUUUAUAAUGGCAGUGAAUGGAGUUUAAGAUAAAGUUGGAUGGAUGAAGUCCAAUAAAAGUGGAAAGUAUUUUUCGUACACAAAGCAUUAGUUCGCUUCAGAAGGCCUUUAUUAACUCCCCUGAGCUGUGUGGAACACUUUUUAUCAUGGAUGGACUCAGUUUUUUGGGCUUUAAAAUCUAGACCCCCAUUCACUGCCAUUAUAAAGCCUGAAAGAGCCAGGGCAUUUUUUAAUAUAAAAAUAUAAUUUAAUAUAACUCAGAUUGUAUUCGUCUGAAAGAAGAAAGUUAUAUUCACCUAUGAUGGCUUGAGAUUGAGUAAAUCAUGGGGUUAUUUUCAUUUUUGGGUGAACAAAAGGGAUGCACUGAAUGUUCGGCAACCGAAUAAGCGAAAAGGCUGAAUAAGAUGUACCGAACAAUGACUAACGCGAUCAAAUAGAGGCACGCACUAAUGCAGCAAACAUGUCGGCAGUGUGAAAGUAUUUAAAACUAUCAGAGGAAGAUGCAGAAAUCAUUACAAGCAUGAAGCACUGACAGGGUUCAAAGUUCUGACUGAUACUUUAAAAGGAUAUUGUGUGUGUUGUUUUUUAUUUAUUUGUAUGUAUACCAUAUAAUUUUGUGCAAUUAAUUGCCUGUCAGUUGAGUUUGUGGCAAAAUCUUUUACAGUGUGUACAUGUUGUUUAUACCUGCAUAAAAUGUAUUAAAAUAGAUAUUUAAUUUCAUAAAGUACAAUUUGAUUUCAAAAUGCACCUACAUUUUUUUUGCAUUCUGUGUUUUUUGGUUGAAUAAAAGACAGUUUUUCCCUAUAUAUUUCCUCAAUGAGGAUUUCUUUAAAAAAGUCUAAAAAUCUUUUCUCCUCUUGUCUCGUUCUCGUGAACCCAGUCUCGUGUCUCGUCUCGUCACACCUCUAGUAUUCGGCCCUCAGCCCAGUAUUUCAUUUUGUUCGGCUUCGGCCAAUAAUUUUCAUUUUGGUGCAUCCCUAGUGAAUAAUCCCUUUAAUUUUUUUGUGGAAAAGUUGUGUACACUCAAUACAAUUGUGAGCUAAAUUUCGUAUAAUGAAUAGACC
rnacentral:lncRNA from 1 species